rnacentral:lncRNA from 1 species
CUUUGAUGAGGUUCCAGGGAGUUCUGGAGCUGAACUGAUGCUUAGACUUCCACAUCCAGGCCUCCUGAGGCACUGGGGACCCCUGGCGUCAGGAGCAGGGCCUAGGACACGUGGGUAGAGGGGAGGGCCCCGGGUGCUGCUGGGAUUCCCGGUGAGGAUGCAGAAGAGGCCGAGGGAACCCGCACCCCAGCCCAGAGUUAGUCCGGGGGACUUUAAGAACUGGCAGCGGAGGCCUCGGUCUGAGGCCGGGGUCCUUCAGGACACAGAGUUGAGGAGGCGCGAGCUAGAGCCACUUGUCCAGGUGAGGUGCACACUCUCUCUGAGCCUGAUGUCAGGGGUUCUCCCAGCCCAACACAGGGGAGCCCUCUGCAGGGGAGCCGGGCACGGUCCCCUGUCAGCCCUGGCACCUCGGGGUUUCUUGGCCGGCCUGCCCCCUGACAAGCUCUCCCAACUCUGUCUUCAGGUUCAGCCCCAAACUGACACCAUGCCCCUGAGGAAUAGCAGCGAGCUUUGGAAGCAGGGAGAAGACCUAGAGGAGGCCCAGGUCCUGGUGGAUGCCCAGGUGUCUGGGGCUGAGGAGGAGGAGGAAGGGGAGGAGGAGGCUCCACCUUCCCACCUUCCCCAUCUACCCCAUCUCCGCCAUACCACCUAUCUCAUCUCUCUCUAUCUUCCUCCUCCCCCCUCCUCCUCCUCUUUCUCCUCCUCCUCCUUCUCGUCUUGCCCUUCAUUGUCCUUCUCUGGCAUGGUCUUUGGCCCCCCAGAGGAGGGGUCUGCUACUCCGGCGGCCCUCAAUGCUCCCCAGAGCUCUCAGAGUGCCGACCGCUCCCCCAAUGGUGAGGCAGCUGGUGGCCUUGCCUAGCCCGAUCCCCCUGGCCCCAGCAGCCCAGGGGAGGCGCGAGAUGAGGAGCCCUUGGUGGAAGGCAGUUUCCACAUGAAGACGGCUGCCCUGGUGGUAUUCCUGCUCCUCAAGUAUCACAACAAGCAGCCCACCAGCAAGGCAGAGAUGCUGGAGGUCUUCUCCCCAGAAUACCAGGACGACUUCCCCACCAUCUUGAGCCAAGCAUCCAGAUGCAUGCAGCUGGUCUUUGGCCUAGACGUGAUUGAAGUGGAUCCCAGCGAGCAUUCCUACAUCCUCCACCCCAUCCUGGGCCUCACCUGGGAUGGGAUGCUGAGCGAUCAGUGGGGCCUGCCCAAGACCGGCCUCCUGGGGCUGGUCCUGGGGUUGAUCCUCCUGCAGGACGGAUGUGUCUCCGAGGAGGAGGUGUGGGAAGAUCUGGGGUUCAGGGUGGGGACGAUGGCCAAGAGCACAUCGUCUGUGGGGAGCCCGGGGACCACCUCACCAACGUCUGGAUGCAGGAAGGCUACCUGGAGCGCCGGCAGGUGGCGGGCAGCGACCUUGCCCGCAACGAGUUCCUGUGGGGGCCCAGGGCCUCCGAGGAAACCAACAAUUUGCAGGUCAUGGACAUUGUGCUCCAGGUCGGUAUCAAAACCCUGCGGUCCUCCAUGGUCCUGUGAGAAAAUAUUCUGAGAUAAGGAAGAGGGGGCUGCAGCCCCAAGGGCGGCCAGGCCUUUUCCAAGCUUUUGUGGGGCCGGUAUGAAGGGAGGCCUUAGGGUGCUUCCUCCCGGUGUCCUGUUGGGUGUGUAAAGAGGAAGACCUGGGUGUUCUCAGGGGUUAAGGGCCAGGGCAGUUUGGGAAAGCAGGGCCAAGAGCCUCUCUGGGGGCCUGGGUUCUGCAAUGACCCUGGCAUCCAGAGCUUGGUUUCUUUGAGGAAGCUCCCCAUGUUUGGUCCUUGGGAUAGAAGGGUUCCCCAGCCCAGUGGGUGACUGACAUGCACCCCUUUGGGAUCAUACUUCCCCAGCUCAAGAGUUAGAGUUUUGUCAUGUCCUGGAUACAAGUUGGGAGACCUUCCCUCCUUGUUUGGGUUCUGGAUGAAAUCACAGGGCAAUGGCGUUGGAAUAUGUUGGAAAGGCCAAGAGUGCAGCAGGCAAGUGCUGGAGUAUGGAAAUAGGAAAAUAAACAUUGUUCACUUUUCA